CGCCCGCCGCGCGCGGCGGGCGGGGCGGGGGCACGGGGGGCGUACGGGAGGCAGCAGUGGGGAAUUUUGGACAAUGGGCGCAAGCCUGAUCCAGCAAUGCCGCGUGCAGGAUGAAGGCCUUCGGGUUGUAAACUGCUUUUGUACGGAACGAAACGGUUCGCCUUAAUACGGUGGGCUAAUGACGGUACCGUAAGAAUAAGCACCGGCUAACUACGUGCCAGCAGCCGCGGUAAUACGUAGGGUGCGAGCGUUAAUCGGAAUUACUGGGCGUAAAGCGUGCGCAGGCGGUUAUAUAAGACAGAUGUGAAAUCCCCGGGCUCAACCUGGGACCUGCAUAUGUGACUGUAUAGCUAGAGUACGGUAGAGGGGGAUGGAAUUCCGCGUGUAGCAGUGAAAUGCGUAGAUAUGCGGAGGAACACCGAUGGCGAAGGCAAUCCCCUGGACCUGUACUGACGCUCAUGCACGAAAGCGUGGGGAGCAAACAGGAUUAGAUACCCUGGUAGUCCACGCCCUAAACGAUGUCAACUGGUUGUUGGGUCUUCACUGACUCAGUAACGAAGCUAACGCGUGAAGUUGACCGCCUGGGGAGUACGGCCGCAAGGUUGAAACUCGAAGGAAUUGACGGGG
rnacentral:rRNA from 1 species